AGAUGGAAACCUUCACGUUCAGCAAGUCAAAGUCUAGCAAUAAUCUGUUUGACCCUUAACUAUUGGCCAACAUAGGACUCUAGCUUAGUGGAUCAACCGAUAUAGCUAUGUACGAAUGGUUGAACCUUAGGCAAGUGUUAACCCCUCUCUUUUUGGUGUGGGAGUAGAACACCGGAUUUCAUGCAGCUUACAUGGUCUAUGUCGGUUAUGGAUAUGUUUUCCAAAGGUUAAUAAAUUAACUAAUAUAAGAAUAUUAUAAUCGAAAUUCCUUGAGAAGUGUACUUCGCAUAAGUAGGACUGUGGACCCUAUCUAUGCAUUUCACUAGAUGACUUCAAGA
rnacentral:misc_RNA from 1 species